UGAUUAUUGACAUAAAAUUGCAAUGUCAUUUUGCUCCAAUUGGCAUGCAUAUCACCAAGGGUUUGCAAUCAAGCUAUUCCUAGAAUAAUAUCAACCCCACCCAGUGGAAAUACAUAACAAUCUGCAUGUAUGUUGAAAUUAGGCAAAUUCAACUCAAUUUGUUUGCACAAACCCAUUGAAGAAAUCUUACAGCCAUCACCCAAUUUGACAUUGAAAGAGGGAGUUGGAAAAAUAGGUAGAUUGAGUUGUUGUACCAACUGGGUAGAUAUAAAAUUGUGG
rnacentral:misc_RNA from 1 species